rnacentral:rRNA from 1 species
UACGUAGGGUGCAAGCGUUGUCCGGAAUUAUUGGGCGUAAAGAGCUUGUAGGCGGUUUGUCGCGUCUGCUGUGAAAUUUCGGGGCUCAACCUCGAACUUGCAGUGGGUACGGGCAGACUAGAGUGUGGUAGGGGAGACUGGAAUUCCUGGUGUAGCGGUGAAAUGCGCAGAUAUCAGGAGGAACACCGAUGGCGAAGGCAGGUCUCUGGGCCACUACUGACGCUGAGAAGCGAAAGCAUGGGGAGCGAACAGG